GAGGACCGUGAAGCAAUAGGGGCGAGGCCGGGUGUCUGUUCAACUCUCCCGCGUAUCCUCUGUUUCUUCGGCGGCGGACAGUGUUCUGUAAUGUGUCUCCCUUUGCCCGAGCUGAAGGUUUUCCUCGACGGAGUCUUUAGAAUACCGUGGUAGAGGCAGUCUCCACACCACUGUGCUCGAACAGCUCUAUGAAGAGGCCUAUGUGGAGAGGAGAAAAAGCCUCCACCAACAGCCAGCACCAACUUGCCAGCCAUAUAUGAACUCUCGCUAUGUUGCCUCGGCUGGUCUCAAACUCCUGGGCUCAAGUGAUCCUCCCACUUCGGCCUCCCAAAAUGGCGUCUUGCUCUGUCACCCAGGCUGGGGUGCAGUGGUGUGAUCUCAGCUCACUGCAACCUCUGCCUCCUGGGUUCAAGCAAUUCUUCUGCCUCAGCCUCCCGAAGAGCUGUGAUUACAGACGUGUGCCACAAUACCCGAGAUGGGGUUUUGCCAUGUUUCCUA
rnacentral:lncRNA from 1 species